AUGGCAGCCAUGGUGGAUAUACCCACAGCAGUACCGGCUGAGUCCUUGAAUGACCGCUCAUCGGAUGAUGAAACUUUGAUUGAAUUAAUCAAGAAGUCCCAGACCAAUAAUGAGCCAGAUGAGACGCAGGGUACGCAAGAGCUGAUCCUCAAGUCAAAGGAUACCGCUAGAAAAGAUUCUGGGCUGGAUGAUACCUCGGAAGAUGAGCCCUUGACGAAGUUGUUGAAUAGACUUAAAAAAAACACUGUAAAGCGGCCGGAGAGUGCGCACAGGGGAACAGGUAUCGGCAGUGAGAAGGCAAAAAACAAGAUCGCAGUUUCAACCAAAGAUGAGGAUUCCUAUAACAGCUCAGACGAUGAACCCUUGAUAAAGAUGGUUAAAAGACUCCCUAAACAGACAUCAUUGCCAUUCAAAAAGAGACCCUUCAACACAAGCAGAGAGCUGAACGAUUUGAGUAAGGGCAGAAAUAACAUUAAGAUCACUAAUAACAUGUGCACAGACUCGUCAAGUGAUAGCUCAGAUGAUAUGCCCCUGAGCAAGAUGGUUGAUAAGCUCAAGAAACAAACAGGAAAAAAGACACUCGCCACAACUAGAGAAACUGACAUUAUAAAGCCCAGUAAGGUUCCAAACAAACGCAACAGGAGAAUCGUGUCCUCCGAUGACAGCUCAGAUUAUGAGCCGUUGACUACUCUGAACAGGACUUCCCCUUCUGAAGAUAACGUAAGGACACUGAAGCCGUGUGUCACUAAGGAAUCCAACAGUAACCACAUAAGGCAAAGUAAAAACAAAAUAAGGAGAGAGGAAGAGAUGACUUCUGAUGAUGAGCCCUUGAUAAGAUUAGUUAAAAAGCCUCUUAAUGCUGUUAAGAAGAGCAUUGCACCAGCAAAGAAGAGGAGUGUGACAGGUAAUACGGUGGUAUCCAGGAAGAUGAAAAGACCAGCCAUUGUGCAAAAAGCUAUCAACAGAUGUUGUACGAAAGUUGGUCAAAGCAUGAGUGAAGGGUCUUCAGAUGACAGCUCCGAUGAUGAGCACUUGAAUAGAAUCAGGGUGAAAAAUCCACCAAUGAAGACCCUGAUGGUUAUUUUGACAAGAUGUGACACUAGAGUAGUCUUGGAAGAUAACUGUGGAGCCAUGGUGAGAAACACCUGUGAAAGAAGGGCAGGUAAGAAGUCAUUUUAUUGUAUAUUCCUUUACCUUCUGGAAUAUGUUUCAAGGGUGGCAUAUCAUUCUAUCUUUGGUAAUGUCCACUUUAUACAAAUCCAGCUACUGACAACAGACAGUGUAGUCUUGCUAAUAAAUAUCAUACAUGUUCUACACUUAAAUGUUUGUGUUCAAAGGGUACGAGUCUUUCCAGUGUGCAAAAUCUCUGAGCGUUGGGCGUUUCCUAAGUAG
ensembl:lncRNA